rnacentral:lncRNA from 1 species
UGUUACUGUUACAGCACAUACAUGCUAAUGUUCAGAGUCAAAGUAGAAUGUUACGAGCACUUCAAGUUAUUGAAGGGACAGAGUUAACCUCCUUAUGCUUUCCUCCCAACUCUGUUAAGCUCCUGCAGUGUGACAGUCCGAGGACAGAAUCACAAAGCCUCCUUCAGCAGAGUUCGUCCCCCUUUAGAGGACAUCCCACCCAAUCUCCAGGAUACAGUUAUCGAACUACUGCACUGAGACCUGGAAACCCUCCCUC